AGGUCCAAAACCUUGAAGGACUUUCAGGUUAAUGCCUGGUCAUGAGCAUUAUCUUAACUAGCGUUUUACUUAUAAAGGUCUUUCUGGGGCCAGAUCUCCCCAUGGGCCAAUUUAUCCAGUGAGAAGGAAAUAAAUAAGGCAGAAAUAAAGAAA